rnacentral:sRNA from 1 species
CUCUUGAGCUCCUCCCGCUGGUCGCCUGUCCUGUUGUAUGAACUCCGGAUGCCGUGUGUCCAAACAAUCUUCUGUUGGGAGAUCUGUAAGAGAUCCUGUCGCUGAUAUCCAGCUUCAGCUGAUGCUCAGAAUGAAGAUAUUGCCCCCCAUAUAGGGUUUGUUCUACGUGAUACAGCAAGCAAUCAAUUGUGUGUCCUUCUAUGUCAAUCUCCUCCGCGAUUAUUCUAUGUGUCGUCUCAUUUAAUAUGCUUCUAUCUAUUUGUCAGAAUAGACAAAUAGGCACAUUGCGGUUAACUGUCAUCAUAUCCUCAUUCCUCUCUCAGUUCAUUUCUCCUUAUACCUUCACCACCUAGCCCUCCGAUGGGACACUGCGCGCGCUACAUUGCUUCUGCUCGAUCCAUUGAGAAUAGGAAUUCCUCGAACCUACCAGUAUAUUUUAAGAUAUAUAAAGAAUCUCCAAUCC